rnacentral:rRNA from 1 species
GUGUCAGCCGCCGCGGUAAGACGAACCGUGCGAACGUUGUUCGGAAUCACUGGGCUUAAAGGGCGCGUAGGCGGGCUGCCAAGUCCGGGGUGAAAUCCUCUGGCCCAACCAGAGAACGGCCUCGGAUACUGGCGGUCUGGAGGGGGGUAGGGGCACGCGGAACUGUGGGUGGAGCGGUGAAAUGCGUUGAGAUCCACAGGAACUCCGGUGGCGAAGGCGGCGUGCUGGACCCCACCUGACGCUGAGGCGCGAAAGCCAGGGGAGCGAACGGGAUUAGAAACCCUCGUAGUCC